AAGUCACACAAGUCUUGCAUACUUUACGCACAAAGGUAACACAAUAAUCCAGAGAAGGUACAUUCCAGAAUCAAUGACCUUAAAUUGUUUAUAGAGUUGAUUGUUUGAUAUGCAGAUAUAGGUACCUACGGAGACACUAGCUACUAGAUAAAUGCUUACUGAGUACUGAGCCCUCAUGGCACUUGAAACAAACACACAAUAUGUAAGGAUGCAUAACGUUUCAGAAUUCAUCGAUUUUUUCAGAUGGAUGACAACAGCAAAAGACUAAGAGGCAGAAAAAAUAUCAAAUAUUUCUAGUGAAAUAAAACACCAUGACAGGUCACAAUAGCAUAGAAACAGUUAAAUAUCAG
rnacentral:misc_RNA from 1 species